rnacentral:lncRNA from 10 species
GUAGAAGAGAGAAAGGGAAAACACAAAGACCAAGCUGGGAGACCAAACACUGUCAAGGUGGCAUUUUGCCAACAUGCCACAAAAGCAAGCACAGAGAGACGCCAGAGAGUGAGCAGUUGGCUGGAGUGGAGAAAACACCAGGAAAUGGAAGGAAAAUGGUGAGAAAUGAGGCAGAAGCCAAGUGGAUGGAGAAAUAUCAAGAUGACAUGCACAUUCUAACGACAAGCCUGCAGCCAUAAAAUGCAGUGUACCAAGUGGCCUCCUUCAUUGCCUGCAUUUUGAAUGCAGUCAGGCUGCACAGUGGAAUGGAAAUCCCUGGCCAAGAUAUACCUCUUAAAAGAAAAUAAUCUCUUCCUCUGUGUGUAUGCCUGCGUCUACAUAUGUAUUGUGGGGACCAGAAUAUACCACCCCAAAAUAUAAAUGACUGUUGAACUGAAGGCAAUUAAGAAGAAGUAGGUACAGGAAAGAGCUCUCCUCUCCCUUUAUUUGCCUAAAAGUAGGACACAGGCUUAUAAGGACAAAAGGAAUCCUGCCCUGCCUUCUUCUCCUAUGGGAGAACAAAGGUUAACCACGGAAGACAACCUUGGGCACUGAUGACCCUGGAGAUGAUACCAGAGGCAUCUCCACGAGCAAGCUUCCCUAACUCGCCUUUAUUUACCAUUAUGUGUCUUCCUGCAAGCUGCUGCCCUGGAGAACCCAAGUCCUUUUCUUUGUCUUGUUACUUCCUUAAAAAUGUACUGUUCUUUGUUAAAAAUGCUAUACAAGCCAGAAUUCAAAGCCAUCCCUUUGAGGACUACUCAUUCCCUUGGCGUCUUUCAUGUACCUAUGAAAUAUACACAUUAAUAAACUU